UAAUUUUGGGUAGGACAUGAUGCAAGUAAUGGCUUGCACUGCAAGACAAGUCAAGAACUUUUUGCUGACUCAGUGAGUCAUUAGAGUGAGUGGUUUUUGAGUGAUUCGUUAAAAAGAAUCAGUUCAUAAGAGUCAAUUGUUUAUGAGAAGGACUUCAUACUGUGAGGAAAUCCCAAAAGAAAGACGAGAAAAACUCACAACUCAAAAUAGUGGUCCAGGAAGCAGUCAUGAAAUGAUCCAGAAUUUAAAAAUAAAUAAAUAAAAGAACUGGAUCUCAGUUCCCAAUCCUAAUUGUUUCCUUAUUUAAGAGUUGCAUCAGAUCUGAAACACUAAAAUUGUCCAAAAUAAAAGACAACUAGAGGCAGAAUAGAACAGCAGCAUACAAAAAAAAAAACUGAUUAUACAAACAUAGGCCUCAUCAUCAGCUGCCUGUUUGUUAAAGCUCCAGCCACAGAGACACACCAUGUACUAGCGUUAUGAUAAAACCGUUUAAUCAUUAGCCUGAACAAGGUCAGCGGUUCCCAGGGUUUCAAUUUGCGCAGUGUGAAACAAACAUAUGGAGCGCCCAGGGUGUUACCGUUAGCAUGGUAGCUUACUAGACACUGGGAUUCGGUCAAGAACAGCACUGACAUUGGACCCAGAGGAGGGCUGGCUGCAAUCCCAGGAACUAGGCCUCGGCUAAGGAUCUGAUUAUGGAAGAAAUAUGGAAAGCAAUAGGAAGGAGUUGAUGAGAAAAACCAAUGCAAGAUCCAUCAGACCACCACGCUUCCUCAGAACAGUACUGUAAACAUCUCAGCACAUAGUCCUGAUGGAUUAUGAGUGCACUGCUUUUCAUUCCAACUACUCUGAGAUGCCCUGCUUAAUUCAGAACAUGGAAUUGCCUACAGCAUUGCCAGAAGUACAAGUAGUGAAUAUUUAAUGACAGCACUUUCACAUGAAUUUCAAGAGAGAGGGGGGAGGGGGGAUACAAAUGCCAAAUAGUUUAAAAUGUCAUUAUAAAACUCUAAAUUAUGAUUAGAUGAGUCAUUUUUAAAGUCACUGGAAAAUGUAGAUAAACUCACACCUGUGAACGCUGUUCUAUAUUAACAUUCAAAGUUGUUUAACGACGGUAAACGGUCUGCAGUUAGGCUAAUAAACUAUAUUACAUGACAUUUUUAUUAUUAAUAAACUUAACUAUUUAUUUAA